rnacentral:rRNA from 1 species
UACGAAGGGGGCUAGCGUUGCUCGGAUUUACUGGGCGUAAAGGGCGCGUAGGCGGUCAGCACAAGUCAGUUGUGAAAUCUCCGGGCUUAACUCGGAAAGGUCAACUGAUACUGUGCGACUAGAGUGCAGAAGGGGCAACUGGAAUUCUCGGUGUAGCGGUGAAAUGCGUAGAUAUCGAGAGGAACACCUGCGGCGAAGGCGGGUUGCUGGGCUGACACUGACGCUGAUGCGCGAAAGCCAGGGGAGCGAACGGG